rnacentral:rRNA from 1 species
UGGGGGAUAUUGCACAAUGGGGGAAGCCCUGAUGCAGCGACGCCGCGUGAGCGAUGAAGUAUUUCGGUAUGUAAAGCUCUAUCAGCAGGGAAGAAAAUGACGGUACCUGACUAAGAAGCCCCGGCUAACUACGUGCCAGCAGCCGCGGUAAUACGUAGGGGGCAAGCGUUAUCCGGAUUUACUGGGUGUAAAGGGAGCGUAGACGGCUGAGCAAGUCUGAAGUGAAAGGGCGGGGGCUCAAACCCCCCAGGGCAGCUGCUUUGGAAAUCUGUACAGCUAGAGUGUCGGAGAGGCAAGUGGAAUUCCUAGUGUAGCGGUGAAAUGCGUAGAUAUUAGGAGGAACACCAGUGGCGAAGGCGGCUUGCUGGACGAUGACUGACGUUGAGGCUCGAAAGCGUGGGGAGCAAACAGGAUUAGAUACCC